GCCCCUGUAGCUCAGUCGGUAGAGCACGUUCUUGGUAAGGACGGGGUCACCGGUUCAAUUCCGGUCGGGGGCUUCA
rnacentral:tRNA from 1 species